rnacentral:rRNA from 1 species
UACGUAGGGUGCGAGCGUUAAUCGGAAUUACUGGGCGUAAAGCGUGCGCAGGCGGCGCCGCAAGUCAGGCGUGAAAUCCCCGAGCUUAACUUGGGAAUGGCGCUUGAAACUACGGUGCUGGAGUGUGGCAGAGGGAGGUGGAAUUCCACGUGUAGCGGUGAAAUGCGUAGAGAUGUGGAGGAACACCGAUGGCGAAGGCAGCCUCCUGGGCCAACACUGACGCUCAUGCACGAGAGCGUGGGGAGCAAACAGG